AAACCGUUCAGGGGUAAACCUGAGAAACCCAAAAGAUCGAACGGGGAGAUUCAUCGUCGACGGCGUAGGCUACCGUUGGUGCGCGAUGCUCCGGAUGGGCCCCCCGCGGUUCCAUUAGCGAGGGCACGCCACCCUCGGAUCGAACGUUCCUGCGUCGUAGUCGUGCACUUCUCCCCUGGUAGGACGUCGCGACCCGUUGUGUGUCGGUCUACGGCCCGAGCGGGAGACUGUCGCGUCGUUUCGGCGCACGCGGCAGACCCUCGGUCGCCCGGCCGGCUGCACGACGGUACACAUCACGGUAUCGGGCCGCAGCCAAUCCAUUCUCGAAUGUGUGUGCGUCCAUCCCGCCGCAAGCUCGGUCAGUUCUUACCCGGAGGCCACGGACCCAGUGCCGUCCCCGGGCCUGGCCAGCUGUUAGCGGGCGGUGUUACUCGGACCGGCCAAACCACGGAUUACCGGUCGGCGACGCUAUUGCUUUGGGUACUCUCAGGACCCGUCUUGAAACACGGACCAAGGAGUCUAACAUGUGCGCGAGUCAUUGGGAUGCACAAACCUAAAGGCGAAAUGAAAGUGAAAGUCGGCCUUCGCGCCGAUCGAGGGAGGAUGGGCCGCGUGACAAUGCGGCCCCGCACUCCCGGGGCGUCUCGUUCUCACUGCGAGAAGAGGCGCACCUAGAGCGUACACGUUGGGACCCGAAAGAUGGUGAACUAUGCCUGGUCAGGACGAAGUCAGGGGAAACCCUGAUGGAGGUCCGUAGCGAUUCUGACGUGCAAAUCGAUCGUCGGAACUGGGUAUAGGGGCGAAAGACUAAUCGAA
rnacentral:rRNA from 1 species